rnacentral:rRNA from 1 species
ACGAACGCUGGCGGCAGGCUUAACACAUGUAGGUCGAGCGAGGCGUAAUAGUCGAGCGGCGAACGGGGGAGUAACACAUGGGAAUCUACCCUGAAGUGGGGGAUAACGGUCAGAAAUGAACGCUAAUACCGCAUAAUCCACAUUGGGAAAGCGUUGCAGCGCUUUAGGCUGAGCCCAUGGCUGAUUAGCUAGUUGGUGAGGUAAUGGCUCACCAAGGCGACGAUCAGUACCUGGUCUGCGAGGAUGAUCAGCCACACUGGAACUGAGACACGGUCCAGACUCCUACGGGAGGCAGCAGUGGGGAAUCUUGAGCAAUGGGGGCAACCCUGACGCAGCCAAACCGCGUGAGUGAUGAAGGUCUUCGGAUUGUAAAGCUCUUUCGGCGGGGACGACGAUGACGGUACCCGCAAAAGAAGUCACGGCUAACUUCGUGCCAGCCGCCGCCGUAA